AUUGAACGCUAGCGGGAUGCUUUACACAUGCAAGUCGAACGGGUGGCGGACGGGUGAGUAAUAUAUUGGAACGUGCCCAGUCGCGGGGGAUAACUACUCGAAAGCGUGGCUACUACCGCUUACUCUUGGAUCGGCCGUUAGCGGAUUAGCUAGUUGGUGGGGUAAAGGCUCAUCAAGGCAACGAUCCGUAGCUGGUUUGAGAGGACGACCAGCCAAACUGGGACUGAGACACGGCCCAGACUCCUACGGGAGGCAGCAGUGGGGAAUUUUGGACAAUGGGGGAAACCCUGAUCCAGCAAUCCCGCGUGUAUGAGAAGGCCUUCGGGUUGUAAAGUACUUUUGGCAGAGAAGCGGUAUCUGCAGAAUAAGCACCGGCUAACUACGUGCCAGCAGCCGCGGUAAUUC
rnacentral:rRNA from 1 species